CAGGUCGAGCAGGUACGAAAGUAGGUCAUAGUGAUCCGGUGGUUCUGAAUGGAAGGGCCAUCGCUCAACGGAUAAAAGGUACUCCGGGGAUAACAGGCUGAUACCGCCCAAGAGUUCAUAUCGACGGCGGUGUUUGGCACCUCGAUGUCGGCUCAUCACAUCCUGGGGCUGAAGUCGGUCCCAAGGGUAUGGCUGUUCGCCAUUUAAAGUGGUACGCGAGCUGGGUUCAGAACGUCGUGAGACAGUUCGGUCCCUAUCUGCCGUGGGCGUUGGAUGAUUGAAGGGAGUUGCUCCUAGUACGAGAGGACCGGAGUGAACGAACCUCUGGUGUUCGGGUUGUCACGCCAGUGGCACUGCCCGGUAGCUAAGUUCGGAAUCGAUAACCGCUGAAAGCAUCUAAGCGGGAAGCGAGCCCUGAGAUGAGUCAUCCCUGACCCCUUGAGGGUCCUAAAGGGCCGUUGGAGACCACAACGUUGAUAGGUGGGGUGUGUAAGCGCAGUGAUGUGUUGAGCUAACCCAUACUAAUUACCCGUGAGGCUUAACCAUACAACACCCAAGAAGUGUUCUG
rnacentral:rRNA from 1 species